GAUGAAGAACGUAGCGAAAUGCGAUACGUAAUGUGAAUUGCAAAUUCAGUGAAUCAUCGAGUCUUUGAACGCACAUUGCGCCCCCUGGUAUUCCGGGGGGCAUGCCUGUCCGAGCGUCAUUGCUGCCCUCAAGCACGGCUUGUGUGUUGGGCCCCGUCCUCCGAUCCCGGGGGACGGGCCCGAAAGGCAGCGGCGGCACCGCGUCCGGUCCUCGAGCGUAUGGGGCUUUGUCACCCGCUCUGUAGGCCCGGCCGGUGCUUGCCGAUCAACCCAAAUUUUUUAUCCAGGUUGACCUCGGAUCAGGUAGGGAUACCCGCUGAACUUAAGCAUAUCAAUAAGCGGAGGA
rnacentral:misc_RNA from 1 species